rnacentral:rRNA from 1 species
AACGAACGCUGGCGGCAGGCUUAACACAUGCAAGUCGAGCGCCCCGCAAGGGGAGCGGCAGACGGGUGAGUAACGCGUGGGAACGUACCCUUUGCUACGGAAUAGCUCCGGGAAACUGGAAUUAAUACCGUAUGUGCCCUACGGGGGAAAGAUUUAUCGGCAAAGGAUCGGCCCGCGUUGGAUUAGCUAGUUGGUGGGGUAAUGGCCUACCAAGGCGACGAUCCAUAGCUGGUCUGAGAGGAUGAUCAGCCACGUUGGGACUGAGACACGGCCCAAACUCCUACGGGAGGCAGCAGUGGGGAAUAUUGGACAAUGGGCGCAAGCCUGAUCCAGCCAUGCCGCGUGAGUGAUGAAGGCCUUAGGGUUGUAAAGCUCUUUCGCACGCGACGAUGAUGACGGUAGCGUGAGAAGAAGCCCCGGCUAACUUCGUGCCAGCAGCCGCAGUAACAC